rnacentral:rRNA from 1 species
UACGUAGGGUGCAAGCGUUGUCCGGAAUUAUUGGGCGUAAAGAGCUCGUAGGCGGUCUGUCACGUCGGACUGUGAAAACCCGAGGCUCAACCUCGGGCCUGCAGUCGAUACGGGCAAACUAGAGGUACUGCAGGGGAGACGUGGAAUUCCUGGUGUAGCGGUGGAAUGCGCAGAUAUCAGGAGGAACACCGAGUGGCGAAGGCAGGUCUCUGGGCCAUUAACUGACACUGGAGAAGCGAAAGCCAUGGGGAGCGAACAGGA